rnacentral:rRNA from 1 species
GACGAACGCUGGCGGCGUGCCUAACACAUGCAAGUCGAGCGGAGGUAGUUUGAUGGUAACUGAUAACUACUUUAGCGGCGGACGGGUGAGUAACACGUGGGCAACCUGCCUCGAAGUGGGGGAUAACACCGAGAAAUCGGUGCUAAUACCGCAUAACAUACAGACACCACCUGGUGACUGUAUCAAAGGAGAAAUCCGCUUUGAGAUGGGCCCGCGGCUGAUUAGCUAGUUGGUGAGGUAAUGGCUCACCAAGGCGACGAUCAGUAGCCGACCUGAGAGGGUGACCGGCCACACUGGAACUGAGACACGGUCCAGACUCCUACGGGUGGCAG